rnacentral:pre_miRNA from 1 species
CUUUGUAUUCUUCCACAGCUUUCUUGAACUGCAUCUAUUACAGAACUGGUAGUAGUGCUUUUGCUUCCUUGCAAUUGCUUGCAUGCCACUGUACGGCUGGCUCCUUUUUUUUUUCUUCUUUUGUUUUGUUUUUGCGGUUCAAUAAAGCUGUGGGAAGAUACGAACA